rnacentral:rRNA from 2 species
CUGGUUGAUCCUGCCAGUAGUCAUAUGCUUGUCUCAAAGAUUAAGCCAUGCAUGUCUAAGUUCAAGCGAAAAUAAAGUGAAACCGCGAAUGGCUCAUUACAUCAGUUAUGGUUCCUUAGAUCGCACUUACUACUUGGAUAACUGUGGUAAUUCUAGAGCUAAUACAUGCACUGAGCUCCAACCCUCGUGGAAGGAGCGCUUUUAUUAGAUCAAAGCCAAUCGGGCCUUCGGGUCCGUACCGUUGGUGACUCUGAAUAACUUUGCUGAUCGCAUGGUCUCGUACCGGCGACGUAUCUUUCAAGUGUCUGCCUUAUCAACUGUCGAUGGUAGGUUAUGCGCCUACCAUGGUUGUAACGGGUAACGGGGAAUCAGGGUUCGAUUCCGGAGAGGGAGCCUGAGAAACGGCUACCACAUCCAAGGAAGGCAGCAGGCGCGCAAAUUACCCACUCCCGGCACGGGGAGGUAGUGACGAAAAAUAACGAUACGGAACUCACAUGAGGCUCCGUAAUCGGAAUGAGUACACUUUAAAUCCUUUAACGAGGAUCUAUUGGAGGGCAAGUCUGGUGCCAGCAGCCGCGGUAAUUCCAGCUCCAAUAGCGUAUAUUAAAGUUGUUGCGGUUAAAAAGCUCGUAGUUGGAUCUCGGUUUCGGGCGGGUGGUGCGCCUUGCGGUGUUUACUGUCUGCCCGGACGAUUUUGUUGGUUCGUUCGUGGUUCUCUUAACCGAGUGCCACGGGUGGCCAGCACGUUUACUUUGAAAAAAUUGGAGUGCUCAAAGCAGGCGCUACAGCCUGAACAUUAGUGCAUGGAAUAAUGGAAUAGGACCUCGGUUCUAUUUCGUUGGCUUUCGGAGUCGAGGUAAUGAUUAAUAGGAACAGACGGGGGCAUUCGUACUGCGACGUUAGAGGUGAAAUUCUUGGAUCGUCGCAAGACGAACUACUGCGAAAGCAUUUGCCAAGAAUGUUUUCAUUAAUCAAGAACGAAAGUUAGAGGUUCGAAGGCGAUCAGAUACCGCCCUAGUUCUAACCAUAAACGAUGCCGACCGGCGAUCCGCCGUCGUUAAUUGAAUGACUCGGCGGGCAGCCUCCGGGAAACCAGAGUGUUUGGGUUCCGGGGGAAGUAUGGUUGCAAAGCUGAAACUUAAAGGAAUUGACGGAAGGGCACCACCAGGAGUGGAGCCUGCGGCUUAAUUUGACUCAACACGGGAAAUCUCACCAGGCCCGGACACCGGAAGGAUUGACAGAUUGAGAGCUCUUUCUUGAUUCGGUGGGUGGUGGUGCAUGGCCGUUCUUAGUUGGUGGAGCGAUUUGUCUGGUUAAUUCCGAUAACGAACGAGACUCUGGCCUACUAACUAGAUGUAGGAUCCCUUUGUGGGUCCGUCACUGCUUCUUAGAGGGACGGGCGGCUUUUAGCCGCACGAGAAUGAGCAAUAACAGGUCUGUGAUGCCCUUAGAUGUUCUGGGCUGCACGCGCGCUACACUGAAGGAAUCAGCGUGUGUUCCCUACCCGAAAGGGUUGGGAAACCCGUUGAACCUCCUUCGUGAUGGGGAUUGGGGAUUGCAAUUAUUCCCCAUGAACGAGGAAUUCCCAGUAGGCGCGAGCCAUAAGCUUGCGUCGAUUACGUCCCUGCCCUUUGUACACACCGCCCGUCGCUACUACCGAUCGAGUGAUUUAGUGAGGACUUCGGACUGGUCUUCGUGGUGGCUCUCGAGUCAUGACGGAGUUCCGGAAAGAUGCCCAAACUUGAUCACUUAGAGGAAGUAAAAGUCGUAACAAGGUUUCCGUAGGUGAACCUGCA